UCGGAGUGUGUAUUACUGACUU
rnacentral:siRNA from 1 species